rnacentral:tRNA from 1 species
GCUUUUGGUUCAGUGGUAGAAUACUCGCCUGCCACGCCGGGUUCGAUUCCCGGCCGAUGCAUUUUUUUUUUACAAUUUUUAAAACUUAUUUAUAUAUUAUAGUGGCGGGCGCCCCGGGUUCGAUUCCCGACCUAUGCA